AAUGAGAAGGCAACUCAUUACCGCACGUCAGCCAGGAGGGCGACAUCAUCACUCAGCUCCUCAGCUUUCCAGAUCAAUACCAUGUCAUUACCUGUUGGCGCGCCUCUGCAUACCCGGAAAGACAGGGAAGGGUGCUGCCAAAAAUGAACCGGCUUUCAACCUCAAUCGAAUCUGCACCGUGCGUCCCGGGGGACGCAUUUGACGCCCCCCCCCCCCCC